AUAUUCUGAGAGUCUACGCGCGAGGUUCAGCGUUCCGGUUGGAACUGUUUUGAAAUCAGAGCAAGAAACGUGGAACAAGGAUACGGGUGUGUUAUCGUCAUCGUUGUCGUCGUCGUCGUCGUGAUCGUUGUGUCGUUGUUGUCGUCUACGUGUUUAGUUGUUUUCAUAAGUUUGUUGUUUGUCCGGAAAGAACUUACGCGGGAAGAGUUACAGCUUGAGGUAUUCCAAAGUGUCUUGGAAAGCCACAUUCUCAAGCUAGUUGACAUGCGAUAAACAACUGAGUGCGCUGAAAGAAUUUAAGUGUUUACCAGAGAACAAGCAAAAUAUUACAGGGAUCUACUUUACGAGUUACAGUUUAAGUUACGAGAACAAAAUCAACAAAAUCUUGGAUCAAAAUUGAACGAAUAUCAACUUUAGACUAAACGCGAACCGCAGACAACAUUGGAACCCAAUGAUCAGUAGGUCACCGGCACGGAACUCCGUUGCAAUCUAAGGUUUUAUCUGCGAACUUUGAAGAUGGACUAUGAAUAAACUGAAGUGAACGUGAGUGACAUUUCGAUAAUUGAAAAUCCCGAGCAUCCCAAGAACAACCGGUGUGUGCAUUCGGUGGAGCAGUUGGAAGGCAUCUGAUAGUAAAACAGCCAGCGUAGGCUGCACCGAGCGGCUUUCAGAUCUGCUCUCACCGCAGACAUUGCAGUAGUGCGGGAAGGUGAGGAUGCAAUUUCAGCUGCUGUUCGAGUUUCAUGGACUACAAAUCGUCCUAGAGCGGUAGUCAACAAACGGUAGCCUCGACAGUCGGUAGAGCGUGUGUCGGUUCGUACGUUCAACAUUGCAUUGACUUUUCCGUCUGUGUCACGCAAGCAAUCACGCACGCACGUCCUCGUCAUUGUUGUGUUUUUCCGUUCCCGGUGUGGUGUACCGGCACUCGAUUCCGAACGUUGUGUGUUUACUUUCGCCGUUCGUUCUGUUUCGGAGGACAACCACCAGACUGUCCCAAAUUCACCGAAUAUCCAAAUAUCAACGUUAAACGAGCUCAAGCCAAAUCAGCAACCACAAAAUCAAGAAAUCACAUCAAAAAGUGCCUAACGACAAGUUCUCUGUUCUCGGUGUUGAUGAGUGUUGAACAAAUCUUCAGCCUUCUGUUCUGAACAACUCGACGAUCUGACGGGAUUUCCAAAGGAACUAUAUCAAAACCCCGUGCUUGUUAUCAAAUUGACUGUUAUCCUUGCAAAGGACCCCGCUAAAGUAUAUCAUCCCUGGACGACUCUUAUCAGAUACGAGUCGACCAAGGCUUCCAAAGUCACCUGCGAAGGAUUAAAAACCCCAGCGAACAAAAAUCAUUCCACGCCUUUUCGGGUGAAUCCUUCCGCGUAAAAGUCCCAAAGUCGUCAACAAUUGAAUAGCGGAACGUGAUUGGAAAGUUUAGAUGUGAAAAUUGAUUUCCCAAUAUUGUUUUCUUAAUUUCGUGUGCACCUUGCCAAGGAAUGUUUGUCCUGGUAAGAGAAUUCCUGACAAAUUUGUGACCCAAAACGAAGAAGACCUCGACUAGCGAGCAAGCAAGCAAGUGGCAGCUAAAGUAGGAAUACAAAUUUAAUUUAAAGUUUACGUGUUGAGAGCAGACAGUGGAGUGGAAAGAAAGUUUUCGGCCAGUUCCGGGCCAUCGGCCGCAAGCUGGACGGUAGAGGAAGAAAAUUGCAGAAAAAAUCCGAAAUAAAGUGGAAAAAGAUUGAGUUGGUUUCUGUAGUCACAAGAAAGAGGAAUUGGUAGAUUGAGUGAUCCGAGGAAUCGAAUUCCGCUUCGGUCGGCGAAAGUUUUAUUGUUUUGCGCUCAUCUAUCAGAAAAACUGACCCUGCCUUGGAGCUAAAUCCGAAGCUGCUUUCAGCUCGUCGGUUGGUGUUGGAAUUUUUAUGAUAGAUUUAGGGAUUCUUCACAGCCCCGUCUCUGCCGAUUUCCUCUUCCGAACGGACGAGCAAACUGUUGUUUGAAGAAUUCGUCGAAAAAUUCCCAACAUUGUACGACUGAGGCUGAGCUGCCCAAGAACACGAAGAAAGCCGGAUGUGUGCAGUGAUAUAGUGCGAUUGUGAUAGCAUUUAUUGGCCACGUUCUGACCGAAAUUGAAAUUUCCUUUAAUUUCAAGCACGCUCCUCCGAGAGGUGAAGGCCAUCUCGGGCAGAGUAAUAUCCGAAAAUCGUGCUCUGGCGCCAUAAUUCCUAAUAAUAGUUGCAAUAACAAUACCAUCUCGAAAACGGCCAGACACCUUCCCCCGGGUCCGAGAGUGAAUCGACGGCGGUGUGAGUGCUCGGCGCUCGGUGCAGUUUUGGAAGCCGUCGAGAAGGAAAUUGUCCAGUGGUGAAAAUCAUCGACGAAAAAACACUUUGUGCCCAUAUUACCGAGAGUGGUAGAAAAUAUUAAUGAGUUCAGCAAUAUAAUAAUAAAAACAGCUCGUAAAUAAUAACGCCGAGUCGAGGUUCUGUGUUCCGAGUGGUUUUCCCCGCAGCUGUUGAAAGUUCUCGUGAAGAAGGGUGGUGGUGGUUCGGUAGCAUACAGUUAGUGGCCCUCAAAGGCAAUUCCCAUAAUAGAGAGAGCAUAUGCGUCCAGCGGCAGAGGAGUUUCCCGAAUAGCAGGGAAACAGCAAUGUGAAACGAGAAAAUUUAUAUCAAAAGAAUCACAAAUCAUAAGCGGAAAAGCGCUCCCAAGUGCGGUGUCUUCGCCGGUCGUCGUUUGUCGAGAAAGUGAAAGUCCGUACAAGUGUUGCUUAGAGCGACGAGUGUGUGAAUAGAUAUGUGUGGUGUAUUGUGGAUGUGAUUGUUGUUGGUGCCCUCCCUCUCGAAAAGGAAGAAUUUCACCGGCAAGCAAGAGGAGAAGAAAAACCUGGGAGCUGGUGUGUUUCGCCGAGCAGCGAUAAAAAAUAAAUGUGUAAUAAUAGUGCAAUAAUUCUCCACUCACAGUGAAUUGUAAAAUGAUUCUCCACUUUCAAUGAAAAGGAAACAAAACCUUCCAGUCGGAUGCGCAGCACGAAGUAACCGGGCCCCAACGAAGAAAAAACACACAACCAAACAGAAGGCAGCAUAAUCAUAGCGAGUAAAUACUAUCAGAAAAUUUGAAACAAAAAUAGCAUAAAAAGCAAGAAAAGCCUCAUUCACUUUCCGGUGAAAAGAGGAAGCUAUAAAAGCUUCACCGCCCGUGUGCCUGAGCUGUUGAACCAAAUUUCACUUGCCAGACAGAAAGAAACAAAAGGUUCGAACGAAGCAAGUAACGACGACCCAGGACUGCUAACUGCUGCUGGUCGGUGUGGGUGUUUGAGGAAAGUGGAAAGUGCUUUUUGUGGACGGACCAGCCAAGCCAGCCGGAAGAAAACUACGAGAAGCUACGCCGAUAUUUUGAACUCGACCAAAUGUUGGCCUUUCAUAACGAACACAUAACAAGCUGUGCGUUUUUGACGUAUUUCAGUCCAGAAAACGCUAUCAACGCUCAGAGCGCGUUACAUGAAAAGCAGACUUCACCUGGGGUUUAUCUCAACCGAUUUCUUCUCUCACGCGAUGCAGAAGAGACCGUCUCUUCUACUAGCAAAAUGAAUCG